UUGGUAGCCCGUGCUCAUGUGGGCUAGAACCGAUAGAGAGUCAGAGACCCUUUAUAAAUCUUGUUUCUCAAAAGAUUUCCGUUCCCUCUCCUCGUCGAACUGUCGGAUCCCCCAACUUUCAGUAUUCAGCUUCAACUGACAAGUUUCGAUGAUUCGCAAACUGUAUAAAGAAGCGAAGACAGGUAAAACCAAGAUACUAUUUCAGUUCACAUACGGGUGAAUGCCUUUUCCGCUCGCCUCCCAACGGUUUGAUAGAAUGCCGAGCCAGGAACCACGUGGAGCAUGGAGGCUAUGGAAGUACGUGUAUGUGCAAAUCUUGUACGUGCGUCGAUCAAUCUAUGGCUUUAGAAGUGAAAAUCUUGAUCAUAAAGGUGAAGUAAUUGCUUCAAUCAUUCACGACGAGUCACGUAAUUCCAUGUAUAACAACAUCACUGAUCACGUUAAUGUAGCAAACUUGCAGCUGAAUGCCUCUUAACAUUGUUGUAUUUUUAGUUGUGGCGCUGUCUUUUGACUGGAGAGAAUCCAGAUCUCAUGACGCUGAGUUGAAAGAUUUCCGUUGAUAGUACUGGACAACUUAGAUCAGGAUCAUCAGUAUAGGAAAAAGAUGAAAAUUGUUCGGAUUGUAAUAAAUUGUGCAUGUAUUUUGAUCAUAACUUUGGUUACAUGUAUUAUAAUCAUGCAUAUAAAACCCAUUUUGGAAAGUU